GUGUAGUAGACCUCACAGUGAAAUGCUGAAUACAACAGGUGUAGUAGACCUUACAGUGAAAUGCUGAAUACAACAGGUGUAGUAGACCUUACAGUGAAAUGCUGAAUACAACAGGUGUAGUAGACCUCACAGUGAAAUGCUGAAUACAACAGAUGUAGUAGACCUCACAGUGAAAUGCUGAAUACAACAGGUGUAGUAGACCUUACAGUGAAAUGCUGAAUACAACAGGUGUAGUAGACCUCACAGUGAAAUGCUGAAUACAACAGAUGUAGUAGACCUCACAGUGAAAUGCUGAAUACAACAGGUGUAGUAGACCUCACAGUGAAAUGCUGAAUACAACA